UAGAAGAAAAUUUCAAAAUGGCACUUAGAGGCUUUUGCAUCUGAACUCUUCAUAUGUAAUAUAAAAGCCUAGAUUUAAUGUGUUCAUCAUAUAAAUUCAGAAGACUUUAAACCACUCGGAUCAUAUGGAUUUCUUUUACGACCUUUUUGUGAACCUUUUUGAGCUGUCUAAGUUUUGGGUUUCAUUAAAAAUAUCUUAAACGAAUAUCUUACUAAAACUCUUAUGGUUUUGGAUGGAACGACUUGAGAGUGAAUAAUUUAUGACAAAAUUUUUAUUUUGGGUGAAUUAUUCCUUUAAACUAUUUCUCUAUUAUAUAGCGUCCGCCUCCCACGCCGGAGGCCCCGGUUCGAAUCCCGCUCGGAGUGGGUCGAGUAGGACUGGUUACACAAUGCACUCAACAUGAAUAUUCAAUUUUUGUUGUCGGAUCAAAUAAUGUUUUUUUAAAAAAUGUUAAGACAAUAAAAUAAAAAAAAGCUAAAUAACCUAUUUUAAUUCCAAGACGAUAACAGAAUGCCACUCGCAUUGUAGAAUGUAUAGCUUUUUUAUUUUUUUAUUCACCAUUUACAAUCGACCCUUUUCACAUUUCUAGGGUUCUCAGAAGCGUAAGUUGUCAUAGUUGGGUAAAUUAUGUCAAAUUUGCUCCCGUAGCGAAAGAAAACAUCCGUGAUAGUGUUUCUAUGAUUUUCCAAAAGAAGAUUUUUUUUGCUUUUACUCCCUCAUCCAUUGUAUUAUAAAUUCUCACCUAACAGCGUUAGCCAGUUUUCUGUAAUUUAAUGCCAAGGUAAUAAAAAACAAAAGUAUACUCUGAAAAAAAAAGAUGUUUCUUUAAAGGUUCUCUAAGGCCCGUUUGCACCAAGGACGACAACUAUAAUACUAUAAUGAUAAAGCUCUACAAAUCAUUCUAAAUAUAAAAUAAUAGCAGAGUUCACACCACAGCUAUAAUGAUAAUGGCACAGAGAAACUAUAUCAUUGCAGUCUCUUUCAGAACGAUUUUGUCCAGCUGAUGAAUGAUAAAAACAUUGACAGCCAAUCAGAAUCCAUCCUGCUGUAAGGAGCUCGAGCAUUUAAAGCGGCAGACAACACAACUGCAGCGCUUAGAAUAAACAGAACUAUAUCGUCUGCUGCUGUGAAUGCUAAUAUAGGUAUCUUUUUUAUAGUUCUUGGUUUAAACGGGUCUUUACACAGUAACAGUUCUAUUUAGAACCGCAUCAUCCUUCCUGAAGAACCCUUUAAAUGCUGAAAUGGUUCUUUGUCUUAGAGUUUAGGGUUCUUUAUUCCCGCCUUUUUGUUUUUCAAAUUUGUAACUAUCAAGGCCACCUCAUUACUGAUUUUCUGGAGAUCAGCUACACAGACUGUCAGCACACUCUCAACAGGUAAAUUACUUCUUUCUUAAAAUGUCUAUAAAUUUUAGCUUUAAAUUUGUAACCGGUUUCAUUUCAAAUCAUGUCUUUUUCUCUUUUUAGUUUAACAGAACAUGUAAAUGUGACCAGCAUUGUUCGAUUAAGGAUACUUGUCUUCUCUUCAUCACUAAAUGCUGUCGUACCAUAACCUCAUCAUCUGCAGAGAGAAACUGACACACAGAAUACACACAUAAUGAAGGACGUAAAAACAUCAUAGAGGAUUGUGAAGAGAUUUCUUGGCCUAUAUCUAUAUCAUGUUCCAUAACAAUUGUUAUUUAUUAAUGUAUUCAGCUAAUAACUUGUUAGAGCACUGUCAUUCUUGCUCCAUUUGCCAUAUCAAUAAAAAAAUAAAAGUACCUAAUUGAAACAACAUGCUGUUUGUUGUUGGUGGUGUUUUUAUGUAAAACCCGAAUAGAGGCUACAUGAUAAUACAAGACCAGUCAGA